AUUGAACGCUGGCGGCAGGCCUACCACAUGCAAGUCGAACGAGUGGCGGACGGGUGAGUAAUGUCUGGGAAAAUGCCUGAUGGAGGGGGAUAACUACUGGAAACGGUAGCUAAUACCGCAUACCAUCAGAUGUGCCCAGAUGGGAGUAGAUUGUUGGUGGGGUAACGGCUCACCAAGGAGACGAUCACUAGCUGGUCUGAGAGGAUGACCAGACACACUGGAACUGAGACACGGUCCAGACUCCGACGGGAGGCAGCAGUGGGGAAAAUUGAACAAUGGGCGAAAGCCUGAUGCAGCCAUGCCGCUUGUAUGAAGAAGGCCUUCGGGUUGUAAAGUACUUUCAGCGGUGAGGCGUUACCCGCAGAAGAAGCACCGGCUAACUCCAUGCCAGCAGCCGCGGUAAUAC
rnacentral:rRNA from 1 species